UGGUGCCCUCUGCGCCUUCACUGGGGUGCAGCCACGUAACUGAAUCCAGCCAGGAUCAAGGGCAGACGGUGGCACAGGUCUUGCCACUGUCCCCAACCUGGGUUUCAACACAGCUGAGGCCUGGCAUAGUCUUUCUGGGCGCCUCUGGCUGGCUCGGUCUGAAAGGUCACAGUCUGCACCAGAAGUUUGGCGGAUCUCAGUGAGGCGUUAGUUUGCAUUUCCUCGCGACGGGUGAGUUGAACACCCUUUCAUGAGGGUAUUGAUCACCGUGUACCUUCUUCGUUGAAAUGUUGUCAGUGUUUAAAGUAACAAAUCUUCCUCUACGACUAUGCUACAAUUUUUGUGUAAUAUUUUGAUGAAUAUUUGAAAUACGUGCCGAUUUUCUUUGGAUUUCUUCUUUGACCAUGCU
rnacentral:lncRNA from 1 species